rfam:Aedes albopictus isolate Foshan contig144746, whole genome shotgun sequence.
UAGCCUAGUGUUCAAGGCUAUGGAUCGCCAAUCCGGAGAUGGCGGGUUCGACUCCCGU